rnacentral:lncRNA from 1 species
CCACUAAUGACUCAGUUUUGAGUUUAAUGGGCUGACUAUAAGCAAUUUCUCCAGUCCACCAAUGCCUCCACAUCUUCAGCUCCACUAUUUGUAUCUCCUACUCUUGCGAUGGCUACUGCAGUCACUCCUAGUAUGUCCUAGUUAUUAGAUUUAGGUACUUCUUUUCAUGUCACAGAUAACAGAGAUCUUUUUUCUACAUAUACUCCAUUGUCUCAUGUGCUAUCCGUCACUAUUGCGGAUGGCACUUCAGUUCUUAUUUUUGGAUGUUGUAGUGUGAGGAUUUCUCCUACUCUUAUUCUUAUAGAUGUCCUAUAUGCUCCUAAAUAUCAUUUGAAUUUAUUAUAUAUUGGAUGCCUUGUUAAAUCCUUAAACUGCUUAAUUAUUUUUUAUCCUUCUCAUUGUCUCUUUCAGGAUCUUAGCAUGAGGAAGAUGAUUGGUGGCGGUAUUAAGGUGGAUGGAGUUUACUUCCUUUUUGGUACUUCAUCUUCUGCUUGUGCGAUGUUGUCAUCUUCCAUUUCACCUUAUCAGUGGCACUGUUGUCUUGGUCAUCCAUCUACAGAAGUCCUGAAGAAUCUUAGUCUUCUCCCUAGGCCUUCGGAUAGUCUUGAAUGUGAAGCUUGCCAGUUAGGAAAACAUCAUAGAGUGUCCUUUCCUUCUUCUGUUAGUAAGCGUUGUUCUUCUCCCUUUAUGCUAAUCCAUUCAGAUAUCUGGAGUCCAAGUCCUAUCCUGACUCGAUUAGAUUUUAGAUAUUAUGUGAUUUUUGUCGAUGACCACACUAGGAUGACCUGGAUGUAUCUCCUUAAGUGUUGGUUUGAAAUCUUUUCUAUAUUUCAAAACUUUUAUCAUGAAAUAAAAACUCAGUUUUUUACAUCUAUUGAAGUUCUUCGCACUGAUAAUGCCUCUGAAUACAUGCAGUUCAGUUUUUUAGAUUUUUGUACUUCUCAUGGUAUAAUAUAUUAGACCUCGUGUCCUUACACCUAUCAGCAGAAUGGAGUUUUACUAAAAGAAAACAUAGACAUCUUUUAGAUGUGGCACGGACUCUUAUGUUUAUAUGCGAGUACCUAAACCUUACCAGGGUGAUGCUGUUCUUACAGCAUGUUAUCUUAUAAAUAAGGUUUCAUCAAGUAUAUUGGAUGGAAAAUCUUCAUUUUUCAUUCUCUAUCCCUUUGUGGAUCCCUUCUCACUCACCCCAUGACUAUUUGGAUGCCUGUAUUUCAUUCAUCUCUUUGGACCUGGUAGAGACAAGUUGUCUCCUUGAUCUGUUUGUGGUAUCUUUUUGGGAUAUUCUCAUUCUCAGAAAGGAUACUAAUAUUAUGAUCCUCUUUCUAGAUGACACUUUGUCUCUAUUGAUGUCUCAUUCUUUGAGACCACUCCAUUUUUUUCCAUCUCUUCUGAGUCGUCUGGUAUUCCUCUACUAUCUAUCGCUCCUAGUACUCCCAUAGCUCCAUCUUCUAGUACUUCUACUUCUUCAUCUUUCUAGGUUUACAACCAUCGCAGGAAAAGAGCUCCUCCAUCUUUACCACCACCGACUAUGUCAUCUCCAUCUGAGAUUUCUGCUGACCAUCUCCUAGAUUUAGAUUUGCCCAUUGCAUUACGAAAGGAUAAAUGAUCUUGUACUUUACAUCCAAUAUCUGCCUUCAUGACUUUUGAUUAUCUUCUACCUUUUUUUCGAUCUUUUGUUGGAUCUCUAUCUUGCAUAUCUAUUCCCAGGACCUAUCAGGAGGCUCAAUCUGAUCCCAGAUGGAGACAGGCCAUGGAUGAAGAGAUAGCUGGUCUAGUCAGUUGUGGCACUUGAGCAUUAAUAUCACCACCGUCCGGUGUUCAUCCUGUUGCAUGUCGAUGGGUCUUUAUGGUCAAGUACCAACCUGAUGGUACUGUGGAGUGUUUUAAGGCUCAUCUUAUUGCUAAAGGAUACAUCCAAAUCUAUGGUGUUGACUAUUUUGAGACUUUUCUCCAAUUGCUCAUCUCAACUCAGUCCGAAUUCUCUUUUCCAUUACAAUUAAUCAGGGCUGAAAAAUACAUUAGAUGGAUGUAAGUAAUGCAUUUUUACAUGGAGAUUUGUCUGAGGUUGUUUAUAUGAAGCUACCUCCGAGAUAUGUUGCUCAGGGGGAGAAAGUUUGCAAGUUAAAGAAAACUAUAUAUGGCCUCAAGCAAAGUCCAAGGGCCUGGUUUGACAAGUUUUGCCAGAUAGUUAGCAAAAUUGGACUUCAUUACAGCAAGUCUGAAUACUCAAUUUUUGUGAAGCAAAUAUCCUUGGGAUUGGUUGUUUUUAUUGUGUAUGUAGAUACUAUUCUUCUGACAUGAGGUGAUUAUGAUGAGAUUGUUCGAGUCAAAGAACACUUAGAGAAUCAUUUUGUCAUCAAAAAUUUAGGCCAACCUCGGUAUUUCCUGGGAAUUGAAGUGGCAUAUGGGUCAUAAGGAGUGUUUCUUUCUCAAAGAAAAUAUGCUACUGAUUUAUUGAUGCAAACAGGCUUACUUGGUUGUAAACCAAGUUCUACUCCUAUUAUUUCUCAAUUACCAUUAGAGAUUGAUGAUUUUGGAGAUGAUUUUGAAGAUGUCACUUGGUACCGUAGACUAAUGGGGAAGCUUAUCUAUUUGACAGUCACAAGGCCCGACAUUUCCUUCGCAGUGGAGGUAGUUAGUCAGUACAUGUAGAAGCCUAAGGUAUGUCAUUGGAUGCUGUGUUAAAAAUCUUGCAUUACAUUAAGAGAGUCCUUGGAAAAGAUCUUUUGUAUAAAAGAAAUAGACAUUUACAAAUUGAUACCUAUUCUGAUGCUGACUAUGUUGGCUCGGUGAGUGACAGGAGAUCCACAUCAGAUUUUUGUAUCUUUGUUGAAGGAAAUCUUGGCACAUGAAAAAGUAAAAAACAAACAGUGGUGGUCCGUUCAAGUGAUGAGGCUGAGUAUAGACUGAUGGCUCACACAGCUUAUGAGAUGAUGUGGGUCAAUUUUUUGUUAGGAGAACUUGGUGUAUCUUGUUCUAAGCCUAUGGUGAUGCAUUAUGACAAUCAGUCUGCUAUAUACAUUGCAAACAAUCUUGUCUUUCAUGAACAGACUAAAUAUAUUAAGGUCAAUUAUCACUUUGUUCGACAUGCUGUUUUAUCAGGAAAGAUUGUUACUCUCCAUAUAAUGUUAGAGGAUUAGUUGGCUGAUAUCCUUACCAAGGCUCUUGGGCCUACUGCUUUUUCUUCAUUAUGUACCAAGCUGGGAAUGUUUGAUAUAUAUGCUCCAGCUUGAGGGGGUGUGAGAGAAGAAAUAUAAUAUAUGGUUAUAUUUUUAGUAUGAUUAUAAUCAUAUUUAGUUAUAACCAUAUAUUAAGAUCUCACCAUAUUUUGUAUGUGUCUAAGUACAUUGUAUCUAAUAUGUAUCCAAGCGUAUUGUAUCUAGUUGCCUAUAAAGACCCUCUGAGAGACUAAAAGAAAGAAUAAAAUAAUUCCUUUCUCUUCUGUUCAUUGAUCACCUCUCUCUCCCCUCUUUCUCUCUUUUCUUCCUCGAUUCCUUUUUUCGCUUCUGUGUCAUUUCGCACCGGUUUGGUUUGGUAUGGAUAUGUACACACUCAUACUGCCAAUCAGUUGGCACAGGUCCUGAUACCGAUUCCACGGACCUUGAUCACACUAUUGCUUCUCUGACUCUCUUCCGUCAACCCAACUCAUCUAAUCUCAAUCAGAUAAGAGAAGUUUAGAUUGCAUGACAAUUUCCAUUUGAUAAUCAGAUCUUUAGACAAAAGUUCCUCUUGGGGAUCAUCAAUAAUUGGAUUUUGA